rnacentral:rRNA from 1 species
AGUGAACGCUGGCGGUAGGCCUAACACAUGCAAGUCGAACGGCAGCACCGUAAGAGCUUGCUCUUACGGGUGGCGAGGGGCGGACGGGUGAGGAAUACAUCGGAACCUACUGUUUCGUGGGGGAUAGCGGGGGGAAACUUACGCUAAUACAGCAUACGACCUGCGGGUGAAAGAAGGCGAUCUUGGGACCGUGUGCGACCGAAGCAGCCGAUGUCGGAUUUGAGAGGUGGCGGGGUCAAGGCCCCCCAAGGCGACUAGCCGUAGCUCGUGUGCGAGGAUGAUCAGCCACACUGGAAGUGGGCCACGGUCCAGACUCCUACGGGAGGCAGCAGUGGGGAAUGUGAGACAAUGGUCGCAAACCUUAUCCAGCCAUCCCGCGUGGGUGAAGAAGGCCUUCGGGUUGUAAAGCCCUUUUGUUGGGAAAGAAAAUCAUCCGGUUAAUACCCCGCUGUUCUGACGGUACCCAAAGAAUAAGCACCGGCUAACUUCGUG